rnacentral:snoRNA from 1 species
UGCAAGUGAUGUUUCUAUCGCGAUGGUCUUCCUAGCCUGCAGGGUUUUGGCGACGAUGCCUUUUGGCAGAGCUGAUGCGAUUUG